rnacentral:rRNA from 1 species
UACGUAGGGUGCGAGCGUUAAUCGGAAUUACUGGGCGUAAAGCGUGCGCAGGCGGUUCGUUAAGUUCGUUGUGAAAGCCCCGGGCUCAACCUGGGAACUGCAAUGGAAACUGGCGGGCUUGAGUGUGGCAGAGGGGGGUGGAAUUCCCGGUGUAGCAGUGAAAUGCGUAGAGAUCGGGAGGAACAUCAGUUGCGAAGGCGGCUCUCUGGACCAGCACUGACACUGAGGCACGAAAGCGUGGGGAGCAAACAGG